UACGUAGGGGGCUAGCGUUGUCCGGAAUCAUUGGGCGUAAAGAGCGUGUAGGCGGCCCGGUAAGUCCGCUGUGAAAGUCGGGGGGCUCAACCCUCGAAUGCCGGUGGAUACUGUCGGGCUAGAGUGCGGAAGAGGCGAGUGGAAUUCCUGGUGUAGCGGUGAAAUGCGCAGAUAUCAGGGAGGAACACCGCAUUGCGAAGGCAGCUCGCUGGGACGUCGACUGCGCUGGAGACGCGAAAAGCGUGGGGGAGCAAACAGG
rnacentral:rRNA from 1 species